GCCUAUGUCCUAUCAGCUUGUUGGUGAGGUAAUGGCUCACCAAGGCUAUGACGGGUAUCCGGCCUGAGAGGGUGAUCGGACACACUGGAACUGAGACACGGUCCAGACUCCUACGGGAGGCAGCAGUAGGGAAUAUUGCUCAAUGGGGGAAACCCUGAAGCAGCAACGCCGCGUGGAGGAUGAAGGUUUUAGGAUUGUAAACUCCUUUUGUAAGAGAAGAUUAUGACGGUAUCUUACGAAUAAGCACCGGCUAACUCCGUGCCAGCAGCCGCGGUAAUACGGAGGGUGCAAGCGUUACUCGGAAUCACUGGGCGUAAAGAGCGCGUAGGCGGGAAGGUAAGUCAGAUGUGAAAUCCUGUAGCUUAACUACAGAACUGCAUUUGAAACUACUUUUCUAGAGUAUGGGAGAGGUAGGUGGAAUUCUUGGUGUAGGGGUAAAAUCCGUAGAGAUCAAGAGGAAUACUCAUUGCGAAGGCGACCUGCUGGAACAUUACUGACGCUGAUGCGCGAAAGCGUGGGGAGCAAACAGGAUUAGAUACCCUGGUAGUCCACGCCCUAAACGAUGAAUGCUAGUUGUUGCCCUGCUUGUCAGGGCAGUAAUGCAGCUAACGCAUUAAGCAUUCCGCCUGGGGAGUACGGUCGCAAGAUUAAAACUCAAAGGAAUAGACGGGGACCCGCACAAGCGGUGGAGCAUGUGGUUUAAUUCGAAGAUACGCGAAGAACCUUACCUAGGCUUGACAUUGAUAGAAUCCGCUAGAGAUAGUGGAGUGCUGGCUUGCCAGAGCUUGAAAACAGGUGCUGCACGGCUGUCGUCAGCUCGUGUCGUGAGAUGUUGGGUUAAGUCCCGCAACGAGCGCAACCCUCGUCCUUAGUUGCUAGCAGUUCGGCUGAGCACUCUAAGGAGACUGCCUUCGUAAGGAGGAGGAAGGUGAGGACGACGUCAAGUCAUCAUGGCCCUUACGCCUAGGGCUACACACGUGCUACAAUGGGACAUACAAAAAGAUGCAAUACCGCGAGGUGGAGCAAAUCUCUAAAAUGUCUCUCAGUUCGGAUUGUAGUCUGCAACUCGACUACAUGAAGCUGGAAUCGCUAGUAAUCGUGAAUCAGCCAUGUCACGGUGAAUACGUUCCCGGGUCUUGUACUCACCGCCCGUCACACCAUGGGAGUUGUAUUCGCCUUAAGUCGGGAUACUAAAUUGGUUACCGCCCACGGCGGAUGCAGCGACUGGGGUGAAGUCGUAACAAGGUAACCGUAGGUGAACCUGCGGUUG
rnacentral:rRNA from 1 species